rnacentral:rRNA from 2 species
AAAUUGAAGAGUUUGAUCAUGGCUCAGAUUGAACGCUGGCGGCAGGCCUAACACAUGCAAGUCGAACGGUAACAGGAAGCAGCUUGCUGCUUUGCUGACGAGUGGCGGACGGGUGAGUAAUGUCUGGGAAACUGCCUGAUGGAGGGGGAUAACUACUGGAAACGGUAGCUAAUACCGCAUAACGUCGCAAGACCAAAGAGGGGGACCUUAGGGCCUCUUGCCAUCGGAUGUGCCCAGAUGGGAUUAGCUAGUAGGUGGGGUAA